rnacentral:snoRNA from 1 species
CUACAACCAAUUAAGCCGACCAUGCUGCCCUCCCCAUGGCACCAACAGCAGCCUCGUAGGUAGUGUAUGCAGCCCGAUGCUUGUACAGGCUGCCCUGAGGGACCCUGUAGACAGCC